rnacentral:rRNA from 1 species
AUACGAAGGGUGCGAGCGUUAAUCGGAAUUACUGGGCGUAAAGCGCGCGUAGGCGGUUGGAUAAGUCGGAUGUGAAAGCCCCGGGCUCAACCUGGGAAUUGCAUUCGAAACUGUCAGGCUAGAGUAUGGUAGAGGGAAGCGGAAUUCCACAUGUAGCGGUGAAAUGCGUAGAUAUGUGGAGGAACACCAGUGGCGAAGGCGGCUUCCUGGACCAAUACUGACGCUGAGGUGCGAAAGCGUGGGGAGCAAACAGGAUUAGAAACCCUAGUAGUCC